rnacentral:rRNA from 1 species
UACGAAGGGGGCUAGCGUUGUUCGGAAUUACUGGGCGUAAAGCGCGCGUAGGCGGACAUUUAAGUCAGGGGUGAAAUCCCGGAGCUCAACUCCGGAACUGCCUUUGAUACUGGGUGUCUUGAGUGUGGAAGAGGUGAGUGGAAUUCCGAGUGUAGAGGUGAAAUUCGUAGAUAUUCGGAGGAACACCAGUGGCGAAGGCGGCUCACUGGUCCAUUACUGACGCUGAGGUGCGAAAGCGUGGGGAGCAAACAGG